rnacentral:rRNA from 1 species
AGAGUUUGAUCCUGGCUCAGAGUGAACGCUGGCGGCAGGCCUAACACAUGCAAGUCGAGCGGCAGCGCGGGGGCAACCCUGGCGGCGAGCGGCGGACGGGUGAGGAAUGCAUCGGAAUCUACCUUGUUGUGGGGGAUAACGUAGGGAAACUUACGCUAAUACCGCAUACGACCUACGGGUGAAAGUGGGGGACCUUCGGGCCUCACGCGAUAAGAUGAGCCGAUGCCGGAUUAGCUAGUUGGUGGGGUAAAGGCCCACCAAGGCGACGAUCCGUAGCUGGUCUGAGAGGAUGAUCCCCCACACUGGUACUGAGACACGGACCAGACUCCUACGGGAGGCAGCAGUGAGGAAUAUUGGACAAUGGGCGCAAGCCUGAUCCAGCCAUGCCGCGUGCAGGAUGACGGUCCUAUGGAUUGUAAACUGCUUUUAUACGAGAAGAAACACUCCAACGUGUUGGAGCUUGACGGUAUCGUAAGAAUAAGGAUCGGCUAACUCCGUGCCAGCAGCCGCGGUAAUACGGAGGAUCCAAGCGUUAUCCGGAAUCAUUGGGUUUAAAGGGUCCGUAGGCGGUUUAAUAAGUCAGUGGUGAAAGCCCAUCGCUCAACGGUGGAACGGCCAUUGAUACUGUUAAACUUGAAUUAUUAGGAAGUAACUAGAAUACGUAGUGUAGCGGUGAAAUGCUUAGAGAUUACAUGGAAUACCAAUUGCGAAGGCAGGUUACUACUAAUUGAUUGACGCUGAUGGACGAAAGCGUGGGUAGCGAACAGGAUUAGAUACCCUGGUAGUCCACGCCGUAAACGAUGGAUACUAGCUGUUGGGAGCAAUCUCAGUGGCUAAGCGAAAGUGAUAAGUAUCCCACCUGGGGAGUACGUUCGCAAGAAUGAAACUCAAAGGAAUUGACGGGGGCCCGCACAAGCGGUGGAGCAUGUGGUUUAAUUCGAUGAUACGCGAGGAACCUUACCAAGGCUUAAAUGUAGAUUGACCGAUUUGGAAACAGAUCUUUCGCAAGACAAUUUACAAGGUGCUGCAUGGUUGUCGUCAGCUCGUGCCGUGAGGUGUCAGGUUAAGUCCUAUAACGAGCGCAACCCCUGUUGUUAGUUGCCAGCGAGUCAAGUCGGGAACUCUAACAAGACUGCCAGUGCAAACUGUGAGGAAGGUGGGGAUGACGUCAAAUCAUCACGGCCCUUACGCCUUGGGCUACACACGUGCUACAAUGGCCGGUACAGAGAGCAGCCACUGGGCGACCAGGAGCGAAUCUAUAAAACCGGUCACAGUUCGGAUCGGAGUCUGCAACUCGACUCCGUGAAGCUGGAAUCGCUAGUAAUCGGAUAUCAGCCAUGAUCCGGUGAAUACGUUCCCGGGCCUUGUACACACCGCCCGUCAAGCCAUGGAAGCUGGGGGUGCCUGAAGUCGGUGACCGCAAGGAGCUGCCUAGGGUAAAACUGGUAACUAGGGCUAAGUCGUAACAAGGUA